GACGAACGCUGGCGGCGUGCUUAACACAUGCAAGUCGAACGGAAAGGCCCUGCUUUUGUGGGGUGCUCGAGUGGCGAACGGGUGAGUAACACGUGAGUAACCUGCCCUUGACUUUGGGAUAACUUCAGGAAACUGGGGCUAAUACCGGAUAGGAUCUCCUGCUGCAUGGUGGUGGUUGGAAAGUUUCGGCGGUUGGGGAUGGACUCGCGGCUUAUCAGCUUGUUGGUGGGGUAGUGGCUUACAAAGGCUUUGACGGGUAGCCGGCCUGAGAGGGUGACCGGCCACAUUGGGACUGAGAUACGGCCCAGACUCCUACGGGAGGCAGCAGUGGGGAAUAUUGCACAAUGGGCGGAAGCCUGAUGCAGCAACGCCGCGUGCGGGAUGACGGCUUUCGGGUUGUAAACCGCUUUCGACUGUGACGAAGAGUGAGUGACGGUAAUGGGUAAAGAAGCACCGGCUAACUACGUG
rnacentral:rRNA from 1 species